GACGAACGCUGGCGGCGUGCUUAACACAUGCAAGUCGAACGGAAAGGCCCUGUUUUUGUGGGGUGCUCGAGUGGCGAACGGGUGAGUAACACGUGAGUAACCUGCCCUUGACUUUGGGAUAACUUCAGGAAACUGGGGCUAAUACCGGAUAGGAGCUCCUGAUGCAUGGUGGGGGUUGGAAAGUUUCGGCGGUUGGGGAUGGACGCGCGGCUUAUCAGCUUGUUGGUGGGGUAGUGGCUUACCAAGGCGUUGACGGGUAGCCGGCCUGAGAGUGUGACCGGGCACAUUGGGACUGAGAAACGGGCCAGAGUCCAACGGGAGGCAGCGGUGGGGAACAUUGCACAAUGGGCCGAAGCAGGAUGCAGCAACGUCGCGUGCGGGAUGACGGCCGGCGGGUUGGAAACCGCGUUCGCCUGUGACGAAGCGUGAGUGACGGUAAUGGGUAAGAAAGCACCGGCUAACUACGUG
rnacentral:rRNA from 1 species